ACCACAGCCCCCACUACAACUGAACCUCUCACUACAACAGCUGUUCAGACAACUGGAGAACCAACCACAACAACUGCCCCAACUGCAGCCACAAUAACCCAAACAAUCUCUGGAAUGAUGACCCCCACUGCAUUUCAAACCAGCACAAGUCCACAUGGAACCAUGGGCUCGGUUUUCAUCUGUAUUCGGCUUGUGUUCGACACCAUCAAGACCGUCCCCAGCGAGAGUGAGAUUGUCACUAUGGCCCAAACUCUCUUGGAUGCUCGUCUAUGGCAGAUGAACGAUACAGUGAAAGCGCCGAGCAACAUGACGGACUUGAAUGAUCCAGUGAGAGUGCAGAAUAUUACUUAUCAGCAACUAUCCGAUCAUUCCUUUGAUAUGACACUGGGCUAUCGGAUAAACGACGUGCACAUUCCAGAAAACCCUGAACUCAGGA